ensembl:snoRNA
AAUGAGGCUUCUCCUAUUGCUGUACAGCAUUUGGAAUUGUCACAUAGAGUAACACCGGUUUUGUUUCAUUCGCAGGUCUGUUUCUUAGGACUGUGACAGAAUUCUACAAGAAGGCA